rnacentral:rRNA from 1 species
UGGGGAAUAUUGGACAAUGGGGGGAACCCUGAUCCAGCCAUGCCGCGUGUGUGAAGAAGGCCUUAUGGUUGUAAAGCACUUUAAGCGAGGAGGAGGCUCUUUUGGUUAAUACCCAAGAUGAGUGGACGUUACUCGCAGAAUAAGCACCGGCUAACUCUGUGCCAGCAGCCGCGGUAAUACAGAGGGUGCGAGCGUUAAUCGGAUUUACUGGGCGUAAAGCGUGCGUAGGCGGCUUUUUAAGUCGGAUGUGAAAUCCCCGAGCUUAACUUGGGAAUUGCAUUCGAUACUGGGGAGCUAGAGUAUGGGAGAGGCUGGUAGAAUUCCAGGUGUAGCGGUGAAAUGCGUAGAGAUCUGGAGGAAUACCGAUGGCGAAGGCAGCCAUCUGGCCUAAUACUGAAGCUGAGGUACGAAAGCAUGGGGAGCAAACAGG